rnacentral:lncRNA from 1 species
GAAUUCUUUACCAGUUUAUAUUGCAAACGCUGGCAAUGAUGUUCCGUCCCUUCGGGGACAUCCGAUAAAAUUGGAACGAUACAGAGAAGAUUAGCAUGGCCCCUGCGCAAGGAUGACACGCACAAAUCGAGAAAUGGUCCAGAUUUUUUUGAAACUUCAAUCCUCGAGUGAGGUUUUGUGGAGAAAUUAUCCAUUUUUUUUUUUUUUUUUUGGUAAAUUUGCAGUUUUAUCUAUAUAUUAUUGAGGAUUUCGAUGAGCAGCUCUGAUGGAAUAUCUGGAUGUCAAUUUGAUGAGGUUUUUGUCAAAAAAAAAUCGUCUAUAUUGUAGGGUUUCAGUCAGACAUAUUUGAAGCUAUGUUUAUUGUUAAGGUUUCUGCCGCGAAAAGAGGAUUUUUUUUUUUUUUUUUUUUGCAGUUUCAUCGAAAUUGUUGAGGAAUUUGUCAAAUGCUUUAGGUGAACGUUCUGGAUAUCGAAAUUCAGGUGCUAUUUCAUUCGUAUUUAAUUGUUAUUGGAUGGAAUUCAAGAAUCAUUAGGUUUUACAAUAUUUUGAAAUUUUCAUCUCAUAGGUAAUUUUAUGCACAUACACAUGCACUAAUUGUAUAUAUAAACAAGAGUUCACGUGUUAUGAUUGGAUAAUAAUGUACAAUGUUAGGGGUUUCUAAUUCUGGAGUUUUCAUGUCAGUCAAUUUUUGGUGCUCAAGAAGAUAGUGUUUUGAAUAAAUCGCAAAAGAAAUUUGUAAAAAUGCGAAAACCGAAUGUAGAAUGUAUCAAUCUCCUCUGCAGCCUACGGUUAAUUAUGUUUUAAACAAAAAUGAAAAUAAUUUACUAUUGGUAUUGCCCCCCCCCCCCCGGGUUUUUGGUUUAACUUUUCCUUAAAUUUCCUUGGAACAGGGGGUUGUUUUAGAUUCAUUUUGCAUAAUUUUAAACCAAAGCUUGAGUAAGAAUAUGUAAAAUGUAGUGCAUGUGGUGUUUGGCUUGCACGGUAAUGUCAAGAAGAAAGAGUUUAGAGCUAUCCAACAUAACAUGGUUGGUUUAACUUCUAAAUUUUGGUUUGACUUGUAUUUGGUACUAAUGGGAAGCUCGAAACUAGAGCUAAUGAUUUGUGAUAGAAACUAUGCUAGAUUAUUUGGUUAUAAUGAUCAAUAUUCCAGCAUACUAAAUCAUAAUCCAGGAAGUUAACUUUUCGAUGGAACUAUCAUAGGAAUAACUCAUGUGGAGUAUGAGAAAACUAAGUUGAAACAAAGAAAACACCACAAUUUAGAUAAGCUUGUUAUGAUUGGCUAAAACCAUUGGUGGGAGAGUACGAAGUGAACAUGGAUGGGUGUUGUAAAGGCAACCCUCAGAGUAGGGGAUGGUGAGGGGCUGGCGUGGCUCAGACAGGUUGUUUGGGCACACUGCUCCUAUACUCUCAUUGCGCUAAUGUUGGGGUUCAAAAAUUUUGGAUUGAACUUGACUCUCUUGUGGCUAUUCAAUUGGUGUCCACAGAGCCUAGUGAGGCUUGGAAUACUCAAUAUGUUAUUGGGGAAAUCAAAACUUCAUUGAAAUCCAUGCCAAUUUUGGUGUCCAGAAGAGUGCUCCACGGUUUUGCAGCCUUCCGAAAUUCAUGGGUAGUUGUUUGGGCUCAUAUUUUUAGACCGUCUCCAAGUUCCUUAUGUUAACUCAUAAAAUUUCUAUUAUCUACUUUAAAUGUUAUAGAAGUAAUACUUACUAGUUUGAAUCUUGCUUUAAAUGUUCGUUACAUCCUCUUGAUGUAUAUCCUGACGUAAGGCUUUAUGUCCCCUCCAUGCACUACUCCUUUCUAUUAUUCAUGGAGAGUUAGGGGAUAUCGUUUGGAAAGGAACCUAAAAGCUCCUGACCGAAUGCUGUGGAUUUUACAGAAAAUUAAAUAAAAUAAAGUUCAACUAGAUAUCUCUUUUCUUAAACAAUUCCUACAGGUAAAUUAGAUUACUAGCCAUGUGUGUUUACAUAGUUGCUUAUAUUUUUUACUUUACGUUACAUUCUUGUUCUGUGCAUUUUGAUAUAGGUGGCCAUCUUAAGAGAGAUGAAUUAAUUUGGGAUUUUGAAAGACAUAAUUGAGUUGGAUUAAGGAGGUGGCAAAGAUGUGUUGAUUGAAUCAUUGAAUGCAAUAGGGUGUUAAAAGGCAAGGGGUUAAAGCAGGACGAUAAGCCAUUUGCCUUUGCAUUUCAAAUGGAGCUAAUAUUUUAGAUGGACAAUCCCAGUGAUAAAGACUGGCAUGUUUUUAUGAAAAUCGUUCAGAGAGAUCAAUUUGAUGAUUAAAAGACUAGUCAGCUGAUAUAUACGAUGCAGCACACUAUGUCAAACCGAGAAUAUAGAGAAGGACAAGAGGAGAGACGAAGAUGAAGAAACAAAGAGAAUUUGAAAGGAGAAUGGGGAAGAACUAGAGGAGAAAAUUUCAGGAUGUUGUAUUUAAUAUUCAAUCAUGCAUUUUACAAUGAACUCGAUUACUUAGCCAUAGUUUGAUGGCCAUUAUUUGGCAAAAACUCUGUUUUAAAUUGUAAGUUUUUGGAGAAUGCGUGUUUAAAAAGUAGGAAAAAUUUUUGGGUUUAUGUGCAAAAUAUUUUAUUGUGUGAAUAUAUUAUUAAAAACGAG